ensembl:lncRNA
AUUAUGUAUUAUAAAAAUAUAUCAAAGUUUUAAACUUCAGUAGAAGGUGAUCAAUCUUAUAUGAAAACAAGGUUUAAUAAAGUUAAAAUGAGUUCAUUAGCAUAUGGCUCAUGUAAUACAACUGGGGUUGUUAUGAGAAUGAAAAAUUUGGCCUCUGAGACAAGCACAGAGGGUCAGUGAUGGAGACACACAGAAGAAUAUCACGUGAAGGGACAGAGACUGGACUUGUGCUGCCACUGACCAAGGAACAUCUAAGCAACUGGAAGCCACAGAACCUAAGGAAGGAGCCCUUCUGUACAGAUUUCAGAGGGAGACAUUCAUGUUGACAUCUUGACUUCCAGCUUUGAGCCUCCUGAACUACAUCUUGAACACUAGAAAUCAGAGAUCAAGUUGUCAAGAGGACUGAUUUUUCUUCAGGAUUCUCUGCUUCACUCAUAGAAGAUUGUUUCAUUUCUUGUUUUCACGACCCACCACUGCAACUUGAACCGAUUGACAGCUUCUUGGGCAUGCCAAAGGAGAGUGUUUGGAGGAGUUCCUCCAUGCAUAGCAGUAUUUGCAGUUCCAGACUGUCAAAAAUUCUUGAACAUCUUUUUUUUUUUCAUUUACUGCCUCCAACAUUCUGAAGAAACACAUUCUGAAGAAAAAUAAUGUUCUUAGGGGGGAAAGUGUUCCCUUUGCCUGUUUGCAUUUUGAGCAUACAAUUCAAAAUCUGAAAACUAGGUAGCCCUUGUCUAGGAUCUUGUCAUUAAAGUUUGAAUUUUCUCCUCAGACCAUCAGGAUAUCAUACUAAAUUAAAAGUAGAGGGGCCGGGGAUUUAGCUCAGUGGUUCUGCCGCCUGCCUCGCAAGCCCAAGGUCUGAGUUCUAGCCUCCGUACCAAAAAAAAAAAAAGGAGACCUCUCCCAGUACACACAGUUAGCACUCAUAUUCUUUUAGAAGACAUACCUGCUCUGCUGCUGAUGUUAAUCAGUAUUUUAUCAAAAUAACUCUGGUCCAUCAAUCUAAGUUCAGUAGGCUAGACUAUGGUUGUAAAAAAUAAUUCAAAGAUUAGUUUAACACUAAUGCUAGAUGAAUGGUUUAUCAAUGGAUUCCUGCUUGCCAGUACACCUAGCUCUUCUUUUUGUUGUGUGUCUGUCAUUUGACAUUUAAGUGAACUCAAUAAUUCAAAACAUUUACUUCAAAACAUGGAAAUAUUACGGAGUAUGUGGAAGUACGUUAAAAUAAUAUGUCGUUAGGCAUAACAAAUAAAUUCCUAUUAAAAUAUCACUAUGAUCAAGACAAAUGCUUUUCUAAAGUAGUUAAUUGGAAGUGACAGAUGUUCUUGUGGAUCACGAUAUUUGAUUUUUUUGUACCCCAGUGCCAUACAGGGGCUUAAUUUUAAGCAGACAGCUUUCUGCUGUCUUCAGAAUUCUAGACAGUGCCUUUGGUUUUCAGUCAUUUUUUUUUCCCUUGUGCUGUACCUUUCCCAACAUUUCUUAAAAAAUGUGAUAAUCAAAUGAAUGAACUUUCUAAAGGCCUGUAAAAUUUGGUAUUUUAAAAAGUCAAUAUAAGAGUCAGUUUGAACUAUAAAAGGAUCAUUAUAAACAGAUUUGUAUUGUGAUUUGCAAUUUAAAAAGUUCUGUAACACAUUAUGCAAUUUGAUUCUUGAGUUAAAGAUUAGAAACGAGUAAGGUAUCUCCUGUAACUUCAAUUUUAAGAAUAUUUCAAUGACUUUUUAAGAUAGAAUAUCUGGACUGAUAUUUCUCACAAACCCUCUUCUCCUGAUGGGGUUAUAUCCUCUCCAUUGUGUGUUUUAUUAGCUUAAUAAUCUUAAUCAUAUGGUUGUAUCCAGGUAGAUUGUGUCCCAGGUCAUUUUAUCACUUUAUAUCUUUGGAAUUUUCCAAGGUGCCUCUUGCAUAUACACAGGACCUGUACACGCAUUCCUUAUUUUAUUGUGUAUAUUUAAGAUAUAAAAUAUGAUGAC